UAUAUAUAUAUAUAUAUAUAUAUAUAUAUAUAUAUAUAUAUGAGUGUGUGUGUGAACAUGUUCAUAUUAUAUAUUCACAUAGGUGCACUCACAUAUAUAUAUAUAUAAAUAUAUUUAUAUUCUCACUCCCACUCUCUUGCUCUCUCUCUCCCUCCCUCUUUAUAUUUAUAUGCAUAUAUAUGUAUCUUUAUGUAUGUAUAAAUAUAUAUGUUUAUAUGUAUAUAUAUAUAUAUAUAUAUGUGCGUGCGUGUAUGUAUACUUAUAUAGAUAUAUACAUAUAUAUAUAUAAAUAUAUAUAUAUGUAUGUGUGUGUAUGUAUAAAUGCAGAUGCGUAUGAAUCAGGAUAUAUAUGCGUAAGUAUAUAUCGGAAAUGCUUCCUUCCGUGAACGUUAAGAAGUUUGGAAUCGCAUCAAGAGAGUAAGAAUGAUGAUGCAAUACCAUGCAAUGUGAAAGAUAUUCUUCUCUAAGGAAACUUUCUGAUUCUUCGAUUAUAGAAAUUCUGGUGUGUGUCUUGAAGGACUUAGUAUUUUUAUCCUUACCAUAUAUGCUGAUUCGUCAUGCUUCAUGUUGCUUAUUCAACGCGCCUACUGUUAUACAUAUAUAUAUAUAUAUAUAUAUAUAUAUAUAUCAUGUAAUACAAGUAUGUGCAGGUGAGUACAAAAGAGGUGUUGAAAUCAGGCUUCUGUAACAUAUUGUUUCAUUGACUCUCAGAAACUCUUUCAAAACUGUUACUCAGUUCCACGUUACUUAUACACAUUGCCGCCGCUCUCCAUCGCGUCUGGUACUGCGGUCGCGUCCGGUUGCCGCCCCCUCGCGGGGAGGGCGCGGCGUGGUUGCGGCGUCGGUUGUGGGGCGUCGGCGGUGACCCGGUCGGCUCGGCCCGCACAAACUCGGCGACGGCACGCCGUCGCGCUCGGGCCAGUCGGUUGGCAAACGCAGCGCUUCUAAGAGGGACGGGCGGCAGAAAGCCUGCACGAGGCAGUGCAAUAACAGGUCUGUGAUGCCCUUAGAUGUCCGGGGCUGCACCGCUCCACACUGGAGGUAUCAGCGGGCGCGUCUCCCCCAGCCCGAGAGGGUCGUGAAACCUCUGAAUCACCUCCCGUGAUAGGGAUCGAGUCCUGGAACCAAUCCUGUGAACGAGGAAUUCCCGGUAGGCGCGGGCCAUCAGCUCGGGUCGAUCACGUCCCUGCCCUUUGUACACACCGCCCGUUGAUACUGCCUCGGACCUGGCCGACGAGUCCGCUUAUGCGCGGGGUCGUUGCACGCCGUCAUCGGCACGUUCUCUGAUGGCCCGGAGAAAUCGACCGAACACGAUCGCUUAGAGGAAGUAAAAAUAUAUCGAUCACUGUCAGAAGGUCUGCGUAAGGCAAUGUGGAAACAUAU
rnacentral:ncRNA from 1 species